AAACCCGCACGCCGGAAGACCAAGGGUUCCUGUCCAACGUUAAUCGGGGCAGGGUGAGUCGACCCCUAAGGCGAGGCCGAAAGGCGUAGUCGAUGGGAAACAGGUUAAUAUUCCUGUACUUGGUGUUACUGCGAAGGGGGGACGGAGAAGGCUAUGUUGGCCGGGCGACGGUUGUCCCGGUUUAAGCAUGUAGGCGGAUGUUCCAGGUAAAUCCGGAGCGUCACUAACGCUGAGGUGUGAUGACGAGGCACUACGGUGCUGAAGUGACAAAUGCCCUGCUUCCAGGAAAAGCCUCUAAGCAUCAGGUAACAUCAAAUCGUACCCCAAACCGACACAGGUGGUCAGGUAGAGAAUACCAAGGCGCUUGAGAGAACUCGGGUGAAGGAACUAGGCAAAAUGGUGCCGUAACUUCGGGAGAAGGCACGCUGAUGGUAGGUGAAGUGACUUGCUCAUGGAGCUGAAAUCAGUCGAAGAUACCAGCUGGCUGCAACUGUUUAUUAAAAACACAGCACUGUGCAAACACGAAAGUGGACGUAUACGGUGUGACGCCUGCCCGGUGCCGGAAGGUUAAUUGAUGGGGUUAUCCUCGCGGAGAAGCUCUUGAUCGAAGCCCCGGUAAACGGCGGCCGUAACUAUAACGGUCCUAAGGUAGCGAAAUUCCUUGUCGGGUAAGUUCCGACCUGCACGAAUGGCGUAAUGAUGGCCAGGCUGUCUCCACCCGAGACUCAGUGAAAUUGAACUCGCUGUGAAGAUGCAGUGUACCCGCGGCAAGACGGAAAGACCCCGUGAACCUUUACUAUAGCUUGACACUGAACACUGGUCCUUGAUGUGUAGGAUAGGUGGGAGGCUUUGAAGUGUGGACGCCAGUCUGCAUGGAGCCAUCCUUGAAAUACCACCCUUUAAUGGCUGGUGUUCUAACGUGGGCCCGUGAUCCGGGUUGCGGACAGUGUCUGGUGGGUAGUUUGACUGGGGCGGUCUCCUCCUAAAGAGUAACGGAGGAGCACGAAGGUCAGCUAAUCCUGGUCGGACAUCAGGAGGUUAGUGCAAUGGCAUAAGCUGGCUUGACUGCGAGCGUGACGGCGCGAGCAGGUGCGAAAGCAGGUCAUAGUGAUCCGGUGGUUCUGAAUGGAAGGGCCAUCGCUCAACGGAUAAAAGGUACUCCGGGGAUAACAGGCUGAUACCGCCCAAGAGUUCAUAUCGACGGCGGUGUUUGGCACCUCGAUGUCGGCUCAUCACAUCCUGGGGCUGAAGUAGGUCCCAAGGGUAUGGCUGUUCGCCAUUUAAAGUGGUACGCGAGCUGGGUUUAGAACGUCGUGAGACAGUUCGGUCCCUAUCUGCCGUGGGCGCUGGAGAAUUGAGGGGGGCUGCUCCUAGUACGAGAGGACCGGAGUGGACGCAUCACUGGUGUUCGGGUUGUCAUGCCAAUGGCAUUGCCCGGUAGCUAAAUGCGGAAGAGAUAAGUGCUGAAAGCAUCUAAGCACGAAACUUGCCCCGAGAUGAGUUCUCCCUGACUCCUUGAGAGUCCUGAAGGAACGUUGAAGACGACGACGUUGAUAGGCCGGGUGUGUAAGCGCAGCGAUGCGUUGAGCUAACCGGUACUAAUGAACCGUGAGGCUUAACC
rnacentral:rRNA from 1 species